AGAUUGAACGCUGGCGGCAUGCCUUACACAUGCAAGUCGAACGGUAGAGCAGCAAUACUUGAGAGUGGCGAACGGGUGAGUAAUAUAUCGGAACGUGCCCAGUCGUGGGGGGAUAACGUAGAGAAAUUUACGCUAAUACCGCAUAAGAUCUACGGAUGAAAGCAGGGGAUCGCAAGACCUUGCGCGAAUGGAGCGGCCGAUGGCAGAUUAGGUAGUUGGUGAGGUAAAGGCUCACCAAGCCUUCGAUCUGUAGCUGGUCUGAGAGGACGACCAGCCACACGUGGACUGAGACACCGGCCCAGACCUCCGUACGGGAGGCAGCGAGGUAGGGUAAUUUUGGACAAGUGGGACGAAGCCUGACUCCACGCCAGUCGCCCGGCGGUCGACGAGGGUAGU
rnacentral:rRNA from 1 species